rnacentral:rRNA from 1 species
GACGAACGCUGGCGGCGUGCCUAAUACAUGCAAGUAGAACGCUGAAGAGAGGAGCUUGCUCUUCUUGGAUGAGUUGCGAACGGGUGAGUAACGCGUAGGUAACCUGCCUUGUAGCGGGGGAUAACUAAUGGAAACGAUAGCUAAUACCGCAUAACAAUGGAUGACACAUGUCAUUUAUUUGAAAGGGGCAAUUGCUCCACUACAAGAUGGACCUGCGUUGUAUUAGCUAGUAGGUGAGGUAAUGGCUCACCUAGGCGACGAUACAUAGCCGACCUGAGAGGGUGAUCGGCCCCCCUGGGACUGAGACACGGCCCAGACUCCUACGGGAGGCAGCAGUAGGGAAUCUUCGGCAAUGGGGGCAACCCUGACCGAGCAACGCCGCGUGAGUGAAGAAGGUUUUCGGAUCGUAAAGCUCUGUUGUAAGUCAAGAACGGGUGUGAGAGUGGAAAGUUCACACUGUGACGGUAGCUUACCAGAAAGGGACGGCUAACUACGUG